ensembl:lncRNA
GUUUGGAAAAGCAGACAAUUCUUUGAUAUUUAGAUAAUAGGAGAAGAACCUCAACUAAAGCCCUAAUAUGGCAGCUCAUCACCUUUUGGAAAGGACUGGAUUCUCAGAGAUUGUGUCUGAACAGCACAAGAGUUGACUGGUUCUAUUAAGUGGUUCUCCCUUCCAACUAUCUACAAAACCCUGCCAGCCUCAUGCUGCUGUUCCUUUAUUUCUUUAUGAAAACCUGUCCUCAAGACUCUCCAUUGAUAGAAACUCGGAGUGUUCUCCUUUCCAAGGGCAUUUUUCGUUUAAGGGCUGUCAAAACUCUAAGCAAAAGUGCCUCCAGGCAUUCAUGUGAACAACUCCUGCAUGUAUGAAACAUAUUUUUCAUUUCCAUCUAUCAAAAUCCUCUUCCUUCUUCAAGGCCAGGGUUUCCAAGACUAAAGAAUGCAUCAGUGAUUGUCCAGCUGCUCCAUUCUGUGAGAUUGCUCUUGAGAAAGCAGAGAUUAUAUUUUGCUCAAAUCCUGUUGUGUAUGAGGGCUGGGUAUAUAACAGACCACAGGGUCAUAAGAUCAUAGACAGAGGACUCAGGGGGUCCUAGAAAUUGCACAGCUCAAGCCCCUCAUCUUGUAGGAGAAGGAACUAAAUCCAGAGGAAUUCUUCUUCACCCAAAGUCACACAGCUUUCCAUCUGACAAGAGGAGGGCAGCGGUGUCUCUGUGGAAUUGUCGGAGUGCUACGCAGGCCAGCCAAGCAGGGGCAAAAGAGACUUUGUAAUGGAGCUUAGCACUUCUAGUCCUCGGCCCCCAUCUCUCCAAACACCUGUGGGUGCAGCCACCCAAGGGAGGUAUUCUCUCUCUUUUCUUUCCAUUGAUGCCUUUGGGGAUGCCGCUGCCAAGUCGCUGCCUCCAGGAGGUCCCAUCAUCAAGUCCUUCCCCUGCUCUCUUCAAUUCAAUUGAACAAACAUUUAAGUGCUUGAUAUAUGUGAAGCAUUGUGCUACAUUCUGAGAGGGCAAAGCAACCUCCCCUCACAAAACAGCAACUAGCCUUUGUCCUUACAAAACUUUUAUUUUACUGGGGGGGGGGGAAGUGGAGAACAAUAUGUAAACGGAUAAAUAAAUGCAAGAUAAUUUGAAGGAGAUAGCUCUAAGAAAGUCAGUGAAUUGGAGGAAGAAAAGCUUCCUGGAUGAAGAAGCUGAGUCUUGAAGGAAAAUGAGGAUUUUUAAGAGGUGAGAAGGGAAUGCACUUUUAGGCACGGGGGUAUAGGGGUAGGAGGUGGUAAUAGCCUAUUCAGGGAAUAGCUUGAAGACUAAUUUGGGUGGAAUAAAGAGGGUCCAUGGAGAUCAAUAUGAAACCAGUCUAGAAGGGAAAAUUAAAGCCAGAUUGUCAAAGGCUUUAAAUACUAGGCUGAUGAAUGUGUAUUUAUUCUAAUGGCAAUAGGGGAGAUUUUUGAGCUUGGGAGUAACCUCAUAAGCCCUGUACCUUAGUAAUGUUAUUUUGGUAGUUGUACAGAGAAGAAGUUAGAGAGGGGAAGAGACUAGAAUCAUGGAGAGCAAUUAUGAGCCUGUUACAGUAGUUUACUUAUGUGAUUAUCUAUGAUAAUCACUUUCAGUAUCAAAUGAGAUAAUAUUUGUAAAACACUUAGCACAAUGCUUGAUAUGUAAGAGGCAUUUAAUAAAUGUUUACUUCUUAGUCCCCAUAGUAGUGGCUAUGUUAAGGAGAGACAGGGGUGAUAGAAGAAAUAUUGUGGAAGUAGAAUCAGUAGGAUUUAGCAGCUGGUGAUGAGGGAAAAUGAAGAGUUGAAAAUGACAUCAAGGUUAAGAAACUGGGUGUCUGAAAGGCUAGUGGAGCCUUCAAGAGAACUGGGGAUAUACGGAAGAGGGACAGGAUUAAGGGUGAAGACAGUUCAGUUUAGUACAAGGUAAGGUUGAGAUAUCAAAGGCACAUCCAGGUGGAGCUAGCCAUCAAGCAGUUGACAACAAGGGAUUAAAAUUCAGAGUUGAGAUUAUUAUUAGUUACAAAAAUUUGAUAGUUUUUACUCUUAUGAAAAGUAUGAGAUCAUCAAUAGAGCAUAAUUAGGAAAGAGAAGAGGGCUCAUCACAGAGCCUUGGGGAACAUUUGGGAGCAAGAGAUGAAUGAUGACUCAGUAAAAGGAGACUAAGCAGACAGAUAGGAGAACCAGCACAGAGCAAUGUUGGUGAAGCCAGAGGAAGAGAGAAUAUCCAGAAAGAGGAGAUGGCCAAAAGUCUCAAAGGUCAGUUAAGAUCCUUGGUCAUGUUGUUGAGAAGAGAAGAGUGGUAGAGGUAGAAACAAAGGGUGGAGAAGUGUGGGAAUGAAGGAGGAGAGAUAGUUUGGCUGGGAAAGGGAAAAAAAUAGGAUAGUUACUUAACUGUCCUGGAUCUAUCUCCAACUUCUGACACUAUUCAUUGCCCCUCCUCUUGGACUCUUCCCUAUUUGUUUUUGGUGACCUUGUUCUCUCCUGGAUCUUCUGAGUUCUCUUCAGUCUCCUUCGCUGAAUUAUCUUCCAACUUUUGUCCCUUAGCAUUGGAGUUUCCCAGGCUUCUGCUUUCUCUCCUUUGAUGCCCCAUUAUGCUUUUUCUUUCUGCCUUCUGUUCCUCUCUCUCUUUUCAUCCUCUUUCCUGGGGACUUCAUCUGGUCCCAUGGGUUCAAUGACCAUUUCUGUGACAGGAUUUGAGGGAGAAUGGCAGAAUAAGUGUUGAGGAAGGGGGAUAUUAGGAGACAUGGGAAGGUAGGAGGCUAUUCAUUAAUCUUGUUGAUAAACUAGGACUAGGAAAGGCAGAAGCACUCAUUGAGAAUGUACCAUGUGGCAAGCACUGUGCUAAGCAUUUCACAAGCAUUAUCUUAUUUGAUCCUCAUAACAAUCCUGGGAGCUAGGUAUUGUUAUCUCAGUUUUACAGCUGAGGAUCCUGAGCUAAACAGAGGUUAAGUGACUUGGUUCAUGGUGGUGUAGUUCUGUCUGGGGCCCACAUUUGAACUCAGAUCUUUCUGAUUCCAGGCCUAGUGCUCUAGCCACUGUAUCAUGAAGCUGCCUCCUAUUUGAUGAAAAAAUACUGUCGGGAAAACUGUAAAGCAGUGUUGUAGAAAUUAGGUUUAAACCAACAUCUGAAUCAUGUUCUAUAAUACAUUCUACAUGAUAUGUGACCUUAAUAUUAAAGAUCAUACUAUAAAAAAUGAGAAGAAAAUCAGAUCAUAUAACUCACAGUUAUGGGAUGGAAAAAUGGGAAGCUAUAAGCAGAAGAAUUUCAGAAUUCCAG